AACGCACAUUGCGCCCUUUGGUAUUCCGGAGGGCAUGCCUGUUUGAGAACCCUGACGUACCUCGCAAACCCCCCUUGUUGCUAACGCGACUGGGUGUGGGUCUUUGCGGAUUUGGGCUAUCUUCCUCAACCUCUUGACGAGGGUGGGGUGGCCAGAAAUUAAAGAUCGGCCGAUCGGCGGGAGUUCUAGCACUUCCACCUCUGUCCAUAACCAAGACGUGUUAGUAUGGGAAACCAUUACGGCGUCGACGACCUUGGAACGUGGAGACUUGUGCUUGCUCGCCAGCUGGACGACUCAACCAUCCAGUCAGGCGCUCUGAACCCGUCACCGGGCUAAGGGCGUAGACCUGAACAACAACCGGUCUCAAAUCAGGCAAGACCACCCGCUGAACUUAA
rnacentral:misc_RNA from 1 species